CCUACGGGUGGCUGCAGUGGGGAAUAUUGGACAAUGGGGGCAACCCUGAUCCAGCCAUGCCGCGUGUGUGAAGAAGGCCCUCGGGUUGUAAAGCACUUUCAGUGAGGAAGAACGCCUGGUGGUGAAUACCCAUCAGGAAAGACAUCACUCACAGAAGAAGCACCGGCUAACUCCGUGCCAGCAGCCGCGGUAAUACGGAGGGUGCGAGCGUUAAUCGGAAUUACUGGGCGUAAAGCGCGCGUAGGUGGCUUGAUAAGCCGGUUGUGAAAGCCCCGGGCUCAACCUGGGAACGGCAUCCGGAACUGUCAAGCUAGAGUGCAGGAGAGGAAGGUAGAAUUCCCGGUGUAGCGGUGAAAUGCGUAGAGAUCGGGAGGAAUACCAGUGGCGAAGGCGGCCUUCUGGACUGACACUGACACUGAGGUGCGAAAGCGUGGGUAGCAAACAGGAUUAGAUACCCUUGUAGUC
rnacentral:rRNA from 1 species